CCAGCCGGUGGAUGGCUCGGCUCGGGCGCCGAAGAAGGCCGUGGCAAGCUGCGAUAAGCCCCGGCGAGGCGCACGCAGCCUUCGAACCGGGGAUCGCCGAAUUGUGCCGACGAGGCACGGGAACGCGGGGAACUGAAGCAUCUUAGUACCCGCAGGAAAAGAAAGCAAAACGCGAUGCCGUGAGUAGGGGCGACCGAAAGCGGCACAGCCCAAACCGAACCCCUGGCCGAAAGGCCAGGGGGAUGUGGGGUGAACUGGGCCGGGAUACCCCCUCCCCGGGGAAGCCGAACUCCGGUGGAAGUCCGGGGCCGUAGAGGGCGACAGCCCCGUAGGCGUAACCUGGGUGGGGGAUUUCCCGGAUCCCCGAGUACCGGGCGUUGGUAUUCGCUCGGGAAGUAGGGGGUUACCAGCCCCCAAGGCUAAAUACGUCCCGAGGCCGAUAGCGCACCAGUACCGUGAGGGAAAGCUGAAAAGCACCCCUGAACGGGGGGUGAAAAGUGCCUGAAACCGGCUGGGGAUAGCAUGGCGCGGCGGGAAAGGGCAAUCCCGGCGAAGGAACCCGCCGCGAGGCGGUAGUACGAGUCGGGAUACCGCCGUCGCGCCGUCAGUCGUGAAUCACUGGCCAGGGAGUUUACCCGAGUGGCGAGCCUAAGGGGGUCAGCCCCGGAGGCGGAGGGAAACCGAGAGUCCCGCAGCCCUUCCGGGCGAGGGGACCGGGUCUCAAAAGGGCCCAAAGUCACUCGGGUAAGACCCGAAGCCCGGUGAUCUAGGCCGAGGCAGGGUGAAGCGGGCUCGCAGGCCCGUGGAGGCCCGCAUCCGGUGCUGGGAAAACCGCUCGGGUGACCUCGGUCUAGGGGCGAAAGACCACGCGAACCGGGCGAUAGCGGGCACCCGCCGAAAUAGCGCCCCAGGCUAGCCCGACCGGAGGUUGCCUGGUGGGUAGAGCGACUGACUGGGGUGGCACGGGGCGAAAGCCUCACCACCCUUGUCAAACUCCAAACCGCCAGGCUCCGUAGAAGGUCGGAGUCGGGGACGGUGGGGUAAGCCUCCGUUCCGAGAGGGGAACAACCCAGACCCGGGUUAAGGCCCCCAAGAGCCGGCUAAGUGCGUCAAAGGUGGUCCCCCUCCUGAGACAGCGAGGAGGUAGGCUUAGAAGCAGCCAUCCUCUAAGGAGUGCGUAACAGCUCACCCGCCGAGGAGGGGGGCGCCG
rnacentral:rRNA from 1 species